rnacentral:rRNA from 1 species
AUUGAACGCUGGCGGCAGGCUUAACACAUGCAAGUCGAGCGAGCGGCGGACGGGUGAGUAAUGUCUGUGAAACUGCCUGAUGGAGGGGGCUAACUCCUGGAAACGGUAGCUCAUCCCGCCUACCAUCAGAUUUGCCCAGAUGGGAUUAGCUAGUAGGUGGGGUAAUGGCUCACCGAGGCGACGAUCCCUAGCUGGUCUGCGAGGAUGACCAGCCAACAUGGAACGGAGACACGGUCCAGACUCCUACGGGAGGCAGCAGUGGGGAAUAUUGCACAAUGGGCGCAAGCCUGAUGAAGCCAUGCCGAGUGUGUGAAGAAGGCCGUCGGGUUGUAAAGCACUUUCAGCGAGGAGGCGUUACUCGCAGAAGAAGCACCGGCUAACUCCGUGCCAGCCGCCGCGGUAAUUC